AUGCCAUGAUGAGAACACCUUCUGAGCAGUUCUUUGAAUAUUUCCCAAGCCUCGUACAAACUCUCAUCUUCAAGUAGAUGAAAAAAAGUAAUCUCAUUUUGCAACUU
rnacentral:snoRNA from 1 species